ACAGGGGUAAAACGAUAAUUUUAAAAUUUUUUCAAAAUUAUAAUUUUAUAGUAAAAAUUAUUAAUUAAUCAAAUUAAUUAACAUGUAUUAACCCUACACAAGGAUCUAAAUAUGAUAUAUAUAGCAUGUAUUUAAAUUUAAAAUUUAAACUUCUACAGUAAAUAUUUUACUGUUAUGUAUUCAGAACAUAUUACCUUAGUGCAGAUAGU
rnacentral:lncRNA from 1 species